rnacentral:rRNA from 1 species
GAUGAACGCUAGCGGCAGGCUUAACACAUGCAAGUCGAGGGGUAUAGUUCUUCGGAACUAGAGACCGGCGCACGGGUGCGUAACGCGUAUGCAAUCUACCUUUUACAGGGGAAUAGCCCAGAGAAAUUUGGAUUAAUGCCCCAUAGUAUAGUUUAUUCGCAUGAGUAGAUUAUUAAAGUUCCAACGGUAAAAGAUGAGCAUGCGUCCCAUUAGCUAGAUGGUAAGGUAACGGCUUACCAUGGCGACGAUGGGCAGGGGUCCUGAGAGGGAGCUCCCCCACACUGGUACUGAGACACGGACCAGACUCCUACGGGAGGCAGCAGUGAGGAAUAUUGGUCAAUGGACGCAAGUCUGAACCAGCCAUGCCGCGUGCAGGAUGACGGUCCUAUGGAUUGUAAACUGCUUUUGUACGAGAAGAAACACUGCUACGUGUAGCAGCUUGACGGUAUCGUAAGAAUAAGGAUCGGCUAACUCCGUGCCAGCAGCCGCAGUAA